rnacentral:lncRNA from 1 species
GAGAGGGACCAGGUGAAGAUUUCGGCCACCUCUGCCCUGGGCUACAUGUUGCGUCAGGUUGACAAAUUCAAGCCUGGACUCUCCACCCGAAGAGAGAUCUACACUUUUCUAGUCCCACUGCUGCUUAGCAUUCAGGAUAACAACACCGAGGUAGUCAAGGCCUGCGGUGGGGCCCUGACCGAGUGGACCAAUGUGAUUGGCUGGUCAUCACUCACACAGACAUUCCGGCAUACCACCCUCAGCGAUCACAUCCAGGUAUUGGAAGAAACGUGCAGGUACCUGGUGAGCACAAGCAAAACACAGCUGGUGGGGGACUUACUGUGCCAGAGCUUUGGCUUCCUGAAGAGCCCUCAGUCCUUCCUAAGGGCAGCUGCCAUCAACUUCAUAGGAUUAACAGCUAAGAAGCUAAGCAUGAGUCAAAUACAUGAGGAUGAUGUGGAGCUGUUACAGAAUGCUAUUGGAAGUCUGAGGAAUGAUCCUGUGGAGUCUAUCCAGUCUUUGGUCAAUACUACUCUGAAAAAAAUUGAUGAAUAUGUUAACCCCGGGUCUGUCUCUACUUCCAGGAUGAGCCAGUUGAGCAAUAAUAUUUUCAAAGUCACUGGCAUGAAAACCCCCAAAAGAAAGAAGCGACUGUUUAAGAGUAUCAAACGGGAAAGAGAUGAUGGUGACAAUCAGAAAAAGAAAAUCUGGAAGUGGCUUCAAAGACCUCUAAAUUCAUUGCGAAACCGGUACAAUAGAAGGGUGAAAAAUAUUCCACUCAUAAUAGGCAAUUCAGACAAAUCGUCAAUGCUAUCACAGGUCCCGACAUUUGAAAGUCCACCUGCAGAAGCUGGGCCUACCGCCAAAUAAGUUGCUCCUAAUUGCUCUGGGACUCCAGCCUUUUCCAUUUGCUUGUCUAGAUGUCAGUACUUUGCUUCCCAGUAGCCCUCCUACCAUAGUCCAACUGGAUGGGCUACUUUGGAUUAAACCCAAGGAGGCAGUUUUGAUCUAGAAGACACAGUAUGUUUCUGGUCCUUUCUCUCCCUAGGGGAUUGUUGGGUAUCAGCAUAUGCAUUUGUCAAUAAAACUUAUUUUCUCAUUCUAAGACA